GACGAACGCUGGCGGCGUGCUUAACACAUGCAAGUCGAACGGAAAGGCCCUGCUUUUGUGGGGUGCUCGAGUGGCGAACGGGUGAGUAACACGUGAGUAACCUGCCCUUGACUUUGGGAUAACUUCAGGAAACUGGGGCUAAUACCGGAUAGGAGCUCCUGCUGCAUGGUGGGGGUUGGAAAGUUUCGGCGGUUGGGGAUGGACUCGCGGCUUAUCAGCUUGUUGGUGGGGUAGUGGCUUACCAAGGCUUUGACGGGUAGCCGGCCUGAGAGGGUGACCGGCCACAUUGCGACUGAGAGACGGCCCAGACUCCUACGGGAGGCAGCAGUGGGGAAUAUUGCACAAUGGGCGGAAGCCUGAUGCAGCAACGCCGCGUGCGGGAUGACGGCCUUCGGGUUGUAAACCGCUUUCGCCUGUGACGAAGCGUGAGUGACGGUAAUGGGUAAAGAAGCACCGGCUAACUACGUG
rnacentral:rRNA from 1 species